rnacentral:rRNA from 1 species
AUGGUGAAAAUAUCCACCCAUGAUAUCUGUGGGAGGUUGGUGUGUGUAAUAAGUUUGGGAUUUGUUUGUUUCAAUCAAAUGCCCACCCACGCCACGCAAGGAAGCAAGGAAGCAAACCGUCCGUCCCUAUCCAUCCAUCCUCUUCUUCUUCUUCUCCUCUGCUUUGCUUCAAUGCCAAGCCAUCCUCGGAUCGCUUCUCUCCUCUCCUCUCCUCUCGCCGGCGACGACUCUCCGUUCUUCACCCCGCGCAGGAAGAAGAAGGAGAAAGAAAGAAAGAAAAUGGCGGACAGCGGCGGCGGCGGCGACUGGGAGGUGGUGUCGCUCACGGCCUCCACCUACGCCGCCGCGCCGGGACCAAUCCAAGUCUCGCCCCUCCUCCACGCCGCCCACAAAACAGCAGAGUCGCCUCUUCUUCUCCUCCCAAAUCCUCCUGCUCCCCCUGCACAUUUCUUCAUGUCCCAGCACUUCAAUCUGCCACCGCUUUUUACUAGUACCCAUCCUGGGAAUAAUAAGGGAGGCCAAGAAUUACAAGAAUCCGGCCCUGCCGUGCCGGACGGUGAUGCUUCCGAUGAUGCCGACGGUCUCAACAUGCCCAUCAGCCCAGAAAACUACUGCCACAGCGAGAGCGAGAGGGAGGAUGUGCUGCUUCUUGCUAGUCCCGCCGGCAAUGGCCUUGGCCUGCAGGUGGAAGGAGGAGGUGAUCAACUGCAGCCAACCACCACGCCCUGCUCUCUUCCUGACGUUGCUGCAGGUUCAGAUGCUGCUGCUCCUGCUCCUGCUUCCGGCGGAGUCGCUGGCAAUGCUGCUCAGGCUCAGAAGAUAGGUUGCGCGGCAACUGAGCCACUUGGUCAGGCGAAGGUCAGCAUGCUUGGUGGAGGAGGCCCUGUUUCUCAGCAGGGGUAA